rnacentral:rRNA from 1 species
GUGAGGAAUAUUGGUCAAUGGACGGAAGUCUGAACCAGCCAUGCCGCGUGAAGGAUGAAGGCGUUCUGCGUUGUAAACUUCUUUUAUCAGAGAAGAAACCACUGAUUUCUAUUAGUGUUGACGGUAUCUGAUGAAUAAGCACCGGCUAACUCCGUGCCAGCAGCCGCGGUAAUACGGAGGGUGCAAGCGUUAUCCGGAUUUACUGGGUUUAAAGGGUGUGUAGGCGGGCUAUUAAGUCAGGGGUGAAAUCCCGGGGCUCAACCUCGGAACUGCCUUUGAUACUAUUAGUCUUGAAUUAUGUUGAGGUUGGCGGAAUAUAACAUGUAGCGGUGAAAUGCAUAGAUAUGUUAUAGAACACCGAUUGCGAAGGCAGCUGGCUAAACAUAUAUUGACGCUGAGGCACGAAAGCGUGGGUAGCGAACAGGAUUAGAUACCCCAGUAGUCC